GAUGAGCGCUAGCUACAGGCUUAACACAUGCAAGUCGAGGGGAAACGACAUCGAAAGCUUGCUUUUGAUGGGCGUCGACCGGCGCACGGGUGAGUAACGCGUAUCCAACCUGCCCACCACUUGGGGAUAACCUUGCGAAAGUAAGACUAAUACCCAAUGAUAUCUCUAGAGGACAUCUGAAGGAGAUUAAAGAUUUAUCGGUGAUGGAUGGGGAUGCGUCUGAUUAGCUUGUUGGCGGGGUAACGGCCCACCAAGGCGACGAUCAGUAGGGGUUCUGAGAGGAAGGUCCCCCACAUUGGAACUGUGACACGGUCCAAACUCCGACGGGAGGCAGCAGUGAGGAAUAUUGGUCAAUGGGCGAGAGCUUGAACCAGCCAAGUAGCGUGCAGGAUGACGGCCCUAUGGGUUGUAAACUGCUUUUAUAAGGGAAUAAAGUGAGCCUCGUGAGGCUUUUUGCAUGUACCUUAUGAAUAAGGACCGGCUAAUUCCGUGCCAGCCGCCGCCGUAA
rnacentral:rRNA from 1 species